UACGUAGGUGGCAAGCGUUGUCCGGAUUUAUUGGGCGUAAAGCGCGUGUAGGCGGCCACGCAGGUCCGCUGUGAAAACUCGAGGCUCAACCUCGAGCUGUCGGUGGAAACCGCGUGGCUAGAGUCCGGAAGAGGGGACUGGAAUUCCCGGUGUAGCGGUGGAAUGCGCAGAUAUCAGGAGGAACACCGGCGGUGUAGACGGCUUGCUAGACCAUAACUGACGCUGAGGCACAAAAGCGUGGGUAGCAAACAGG
rnacentral:rRNA from 1 species